UAACAGGCUCUGGACCUAUAAGAUCAAGGA
rnacentral:piRNA from 1 species